UACAGAGGGUGCAAGCGUUAAUCGGAAUUACUGGGCGUAAAGCGUGCGUAGACGGUAGCGUAAGUCGGGUGUGAAAGCCCCGGGCUCAACCUGGGAAUUGCAUUCGAGACUGCUCUGCUAGGGUGCGGAAGAGGGAAGCGGAAUUUCCGGUGUAGCGGUGAAAUGCGUAGAUAUCGGAAGGAACACCAGUGGCGAAGGCGGCUUCCUGGCCCGUUCUUGACGCUGAGGCGCGAAAGCUAGGGGAGCAAACGGG
rnacentral:rRNA from 1 species